GAUGAACGCUGGCGGCGUGCCUAAUACAUGCCAGUCGAGCGAACGGACGAGAAGCUUGCUUCUCUGAUGUUAGCGGCGGACGGGUGAGUAACACGUGGAUAACCUACCUAUAAGACUGGGAUAACUUCGGGAAACCGGAGCUAAUACCGGAUGAUAUUUUGAACCGCAUGGUUCAAAAGUGAAAGACGGUCUUGCUGUCACUUAUAGGUGGAUCCGCGCUGCAUUAGCUAGUUGGUAAGGUAACGGCUUACCAAGGCAACGAUGCAUAGCCGACCUGAGAGGGUGAUCGGCCACACUGGAACUGAGACACGGUCCAGACUCCUACGGGAGGCAGCAGUAGGGAAUCUUCCGCAAUGGGCGAAAGCCUGACGGAGCAACGCCGCGUGAGUGAUGAAGGUCUUCGGAUCGUAAAACUCUGUUAUUAGGGAAGAACAUAUGUGUAAGUAACUGUGCACAUCUUGACGGUACCUAAUCAGAAAGCCACGGCUAACUACGUG
rnacentral:rRNA from 1 species